rnacentral:rRNA from 1 species
AGCGAACGCUGGCGGCAGGCCUAACACAUGCAAGUCGAGCGGCCGUAGCAAUACGGCAGCGGCAGACGGGAGAGUAACACGUGGGAACGUACCCUUUGGUUCGGAACAACACAGGGAAACUUGUGCUAAUACCGGAUAAGCCCUUACGGGGAAAGAUUUAUCGCCAAAGGAUCGGCCCGCGUCUGAUUAGCUAGUUGGUGGGUAACGGCCCACCAAGGCGACGAUCAGUAGCUGGUCUGAGAGGAUGAUCAGCCUCACUGGGACUGAGACACGGCCCAGACUCCUACGGGAGGCAGCAGUGGGGAAUAUUGGACAAUGGGCGCAAGCCUGAUCCAGCCAUGCCGCGUGGAUGAUGAAGGCCC